GCAAGUCGAGCGCGAAAGCCCUUCGGGGUAAGUAGAGCGGCGGACGGGUUAGUAACGCGUGGGAAUAUACCCAGUUCUAAGGAAUAGCCACUGGAAACGGUGAGUAAUACCUUAUACGCCCUUCGGGGGAAAGAUUUAUCGGAAUUGGAUUAGCCCGCGUUAGAUUAGAUAGUUGGUGGGGUAAUGGCCUACCAAGUCUACGAUCUAUAGCUGGUUUGAGAGGAUGAUC
rnacentral:rRNA from 1 species